AUACCUUUCUCGGCCUUUUGGCUAAGAUCAAGUGUAGUAUCUGUUCUUAUCAGUUUAAUAUCUGAUACGUGGGCCAUCGGUCCACUCGAUAUUAAUCUUAUUUUUUAUGGGGAAAGGUCCAUCACAAUAGCUUGCUAUUGGGGCCUUUGAGCGUCGCCUUGGUGUUGCACUACUGCCUUGGCCUGGCGCACCCCUC
rnacentral:snRNA from 2 species